rnacentral:SRP_RNA from 1 species
GCCGGGCGUGGUGGCGCACGCCUGUAAUCCCAGCUACUCAGAAGGCUGAGGCAGGAGGAUCGCUUGAACCCGGGAGGUGGAGGUCGUAGUGAGCCAAGAUCUCACUGCACUCCAGCCUGGGCAACAAAGCGAGACUCGGUCUCAG